rnacentral:rRNA from 1 species
AAAACAUCGCUCUUUGUGUGUUUAUAAGGAGUUGGACCUGCCCGGUGAUUGAGCAAAUUUUGAAGUUAUUAAUAACAAGAAAUUUUUUUAAACGGCUGCAAUUAAUAAUUGUGCUAAGGUAGCGUAAUCAUUUGCCCCCUAAUUAGGGGAAGGUAUGAAUGGUUUGACGUGGGAGAAACUGUCUCUUUUACAUGCGAAGAAGUUUAUUUUUGAGUGAAAAAGCUUAGAUGAUUUUAAAAGACGAGAAGACCCUAUCGAACUUGAAUUAGGUAUUUAAAUUUUUUUAAGUAUUAAAAGUUUAGUUGGGGAAACUUAAAGUAAAAAAAAACGCUUUAUUUUUUUGUAAAGAUCCUGUAUUAUAGAAAAACGAAAAAGUUACCGUAGGGAUAACAGCGCUUUCUUCUCUGAGAGGACUAAUUAAAGAGUUGGUUGCGACCUCGAUGUUGGAUUAAAAUUUCUUUUUGGGGUAGGGGUUAAAAUAGUAAGACUGUUCGUCUUUUAAAAUUUUACGUGAUC